rnacentral:rRNA from 1 species
AUUGAACGCUGGCGGCAGGCCUAACACAUGCAAGUCGAACGGUAACAGGAAGCAGCUUGCUGCUUUGCUGACGAGUGGCGGACGGGUGAGUAAUGUCUGGGAAACUGCCUGAUGGAGGGGGAUAACUACUGGAAACGGUAGCUAAUACCGCAUAACGUCGCAAGACCAAAGAGGGGGACCUUAGGGCCUCUUGCCAUCGGAUGUGCCCAGAUGGGAUUAGCUAGUAGGUGGGGUAACGGCUCACCUAGGCGACGAUCCCUAGCUGGUCUGAGAGGAUGACCAGCCGCACUGGAACUGAGACACGGUCCAGACUCCUACGGGAGGCAGCAGUGGGGAAUAUUGCACAAUGGGCGCAAGCCUGAUGCAGCCAUGCCGCGUGUAUGAAGAAGGCCUUCGGGUUGUAAAGUACUUUCAGCGGGGAGGAAGGGAGUAAAGUUAAUACCUUUGCUCAUUGACGUUACCCGCAGAAGAAGCACCGGCUAACUCCGUG